GGAUCCUCGCCAGCGUACCAAGCAUUAACCAACGGAUUUGAAGCAACUUCAGCCAAUUCAUGGCCGAUUACACUGAUCAUUCCAUCCAACGCAACGUCUCUAUUCGGCGGCGAGAGAGCGCUGGGGCCACCGCCGGUCAUGUACGCCGGGACGGCGAAGGGAUAGGCGCAUUGCUCGGGACAUUGCUUGCCGGAAUGGCCGACCCAAGCGUAGGGAAGCGUGUAGCCGAC
rnacentral:misc_RNA from 1 species